GGAUUGUAGCUCAGUGGCCGAGCGGUUGCCUCGCACGUAUGAGGUACUGGGUUUGAACCUCAGCACCA
rnacentral:tRNA from 1 species